rnacentral:rRNA from 1 species
UACGUAUGGUGCAAGCGUUAUCCGGAUUUACUGGGCGUAAAGGGAGCGCAGGCGGCGCGCCAAGUCUGAUGUGAAACCCCGGGGCUCAACCCCGGGCAUGCAUUGGAAACUGGCGGGCUGGAGUGCCGGAGAGGUAAGCGGAAUUCCUAGUGUAGCGGUGAAAUGCGUAGAUAUUAGGAGGAACACCAGUGGCGAAGGCGGCUUACUGGACGGCAACUGACGCUGAGGCUCGAAAGCGUGGAGAGCAAACAGG